rnacentral:sRNA from 1 species
AAAAAUGUGAAAAGGUAGAAAGGGUCAAAAUAUGGUUCUAACCCUCUUUUAUAAACUUUAAGGGUUAAAAAAGGAUUAUAGCUCAUUUAGAGUCGAGUUUUAAAUAAGUAGAGCCGGACUGGGUCAGGACACCCUAUAUAAUAUUCCUACCUCUUACCAACAAAUAUUUUAGUU